GAAUAUUGGACAAUGGGGGCAACCCUGAUCCAGCGAUGCCGCGUGGGUGAAGAAGGCCUUCGGGUUGUAAAGCCCUUUAGGUUGGGAAGAAGAGUAGAUGUGGAUAAUACAUUUACUUUGACGGUACCGACAGAAUAAGCACCGGAAAACUCUGUUCCAGCAGCCGCGGUAAUACAGAGGGUGCGAGCGUUAAUCGGAUUUACUGGGCGUAAAGGGCACGUAGGCGGUAAGAUGUGUGUGAUGUGAAAGCCCCGGGCUCAACCUGGGAAGUGCAUCGCAAACUAUCUAACUAGAGUAUAUGAGAGGGUGGCGGAAUUUCCGGUGUAGCGGUGAAAUGCGUAGAGAUCGGAAGGAACGUCAAUGGCGAAGGCAGCCACCUGGCAUAAUACUGACGCUGAGGUGCGAAAGCGUGGGGAUCGAACAGG
rnacentral:rRNA from 1 species